UCCUGCCUUCCAUCGACUUCCACUGGCAGCUCCGGUUCUGGGCUGCCUGGGAGGUGCGGGGAGAGCGGUGACCAAGGACAGAGACUCUCAGAUCCCUGCAGAAGGAUCAAGUGGACCAAAUGACCCUUAAGAAGCUUUCCAGUCUCCACCUCUUCUGUCCUUGCACUCCUGAGCCCCUCCGAGAGAGGAGGAUGCCAGGGUCUAGGACGAUAAAGAGACCCACAGGUCAUCUAGCUGCUCAGCGACACCCUGGGGACCAGAUCUGACCACUUCACCAGGGUCUCCUGCAUGUAACAGGCAGAUGAUUGCUAAAGCUGAAGAUCCAAUACUUUGGCCA